GAGGAAUAUUGGUCAAUGGGCGCGAGCCUGAACCAGCCAAGUAGCGUGCAGGAUGACGGCCCUAUGGGUUGUAAACUGCUUUUGUAUGGGGAUAAAGUCAAUCACGUGUGAUUGUUUGCAGGUACCAUACGAAUAAGGACCGGCUAAUUCCGUGCCAGCAGCCGCGGUAAUACGGAAGGUCCGGGCGUUAUCCGGAUUUAUUGGGUUUAAAGGGAGCGUAGGCCGGAGAUUAAGUGUGUUGUGAAAUGUAGACGCUCAACGUCUGACUUGCAGCGCAUACUGGUUUCCUUGAGUACGCACAACGUUGGCGGAAUUCGUCGUGUAGCGGUGAAAUGCUUAGAUAUGACGAAGAACUCCGAUUGCGAAGGCAGCUGACGGGAGCGCAACUGACGCUUAAGCUCGAAGGUGCGGGUAUCGAACAGGAUUAGAUACCCUGGUAGUCCGCACAGUAAACGAUGGAUGCCCGCUGUUGGUGCCUGGUAUCAGCGGCUAAGCGAAAGCAUUAAGCAUCCCACCUGGGGAGUACGCCGGCAACGGUG
rnacentral:rRNA from 1 species